rnacentral:rRNA from 1 species
UACACUCCUGCGGGAGGCAGCAGUGGGGAAUAUUGGACAAUGGGCGCAAGCCUGAUCCAGCCAUGCCGCGUGAGUGAUGAAGGCCCUAGGGUUGUAAAGCUCUUUCACCGGAGAAGAUAAUGACGGUAUCCGGAGAAGAAGCCCCGGCUAACUUCGUGCCAGCAGCCGCGGUAAUACGAAGGGGGCUAGCGUUGUUCGGAAUUACUGGGCGUAAAGCGCACGUAGGCGGAUCGAUCAGUCAGGGGUGAAAUCCCAGGGCUCAACCCUGGAACUGCCUUUGAUACUGUCGAUCUGGAGUAUGGAAGAGGUGAGUGGAAUUCCGAGUGUAGAGGUGAAAUUCGUAGAUAUUCGGAGGAACACCAGUGGCGAAGGCGGCUCACUGGUCCAUUACUGACGCUGAGGUGCGAAAGCGUGGGGAGCAAACAGGAUUAGAAACCCCGGUAGUCCCAU